rnacentral:rRNA from 1 species
UGAGGAAUAUUGGUCAAUGGACGCAAGUCUGAACCAGCCAUGCCGCGUGCAGGAAGACGGCUCUAUGAGUUGUAAACUGCUUUUGUACGAGGGUAAACUCGGGUACGUGUACCCGACUGAAAGUAUCGUACGAAUAAGGAUCGGCUAACUCCGUGCCAGCAGCCGCGGUAAUACGGAGGAUUCAAGCGUUAUCCGGAUGUAUUGGGUUUAAAGGGUGCGUAGGCGGUUCGAUAAGUUAGAGGUGAAAUUCCGGGGCUCAACCCCGGCACUGCCUCUGAUACUGUCGGGCUAGAGUACAGAUGCGGUAGGCGGAAUGUAUGGUGUAGCGGUGAAAUGCAUAGAGAUCAUACAGAACACCGAUUGCGAAGGCAGCUUACCAAACUGCAACUGACGUUGAGGCACGAAAGCGUGGGUAGCGAACAGG